GAUGAACGCUGGCGGCGUGCCUAAUACAUGCAAGUCGAGCGAACAGACGAGGAGCUUGCUCCUCUGACGUUAGCAGCGGACGGGUGAGUAACACGUGGAUAACCUACCUAUAAGACUGGGAUAACUUCGGGAAACCGGAGCUAAUACCGGAUAAUAUAUUGAACCGCAUGGUUCAAUAGUGAAAGACGGUUUUGCUGUCACUUAUAGAUGGAUCCGCGCCGCAUUAGCUAGUUGGUAAGGUAACGGCUUACCAAGGCAACGAUGCGUAGCCGACCUGAGAGGGUGAUCGGCCACACUGGAACUGAGACACGGUCCAGACUCCUACGGGAGGCAGCAGUAGGGAAUCUUCCGCAAUGGGCGAAAGCCUGACGGAGCAACGCCGCGUGAGUGAUGAAGGUCUUCGGAUCGUAAAACUCUGUUAUUAGGGAAGAACAAAUGUGUAAGUAACUAUGCACGUCUUGACGGUACCUAAUCAGAAAGCCACGGCUAACUUCGUG
rnacentral:rRNA from 1 species